rnacentral:rRNA from 1 species
UUAACGCGAAGAACCUUACCAGGUCUUGACAUUUUCUGCUAACCUAAGAGAUUAGGCGUUCCCUUCGGGGACGGAAUGACAGGUGGUGCAUGGUUGUCGUCAGCUCGUGUCGUGAGAUGUUGGGUUAAGUCCCGCAACGAGCGCAACCCUUAUUGUCAGUUGCCAGCAUUUAGUUGGGCACUCUGGCGAGACUGCCGGUGACAAACCGGAGGAAGGUGGGGAUGACGUCAAAUCAUCAUGCCCCUUAUGACCUGGGCUACACACGUGCUACAAUGGACGGUACAACGAGUCGCGAAACCGCGAGGUCAAGCUAAUCUCUUAAAGCCGUUCUCAGUUCGGAUUGUAGGCUGCAACUCGCCUACAUGAAGUUGGAAUCGCUAGUAAUCGUGGAUCAGC